UUUUAUGUUGUGCCUAGGAGUUGAG
rnacentral:misc_RNA from 1 species